AGUGAACGCUGGCGGUAGGCCUAACACAUGCCAGUCGAACGGCAGCACAGUAAGAGCUUGCUCUUACGGGUGGCGAGUCGCGGACGGGAGAGGUAUACAUCGGAAUCUACUUUUUCGGGGAGGAUCACGUAGGUAAACUUACUCUAAUACCGCAUACGACCUACGGGUGAAAGCAGUGGAUCGUCGGACCUUGCGCGAUUGAAUUAGCCGCUGUCGGGUUAGCUAGUUGGCGGGUUAAAGGCCCACCAAGGCGACGAUCCGUAGCUGGUCUGAGAGGAUGAUAACCCACACUGGAGCUGGGCCACGGACCAGGCUCCUACGGUAGGGAGCAGUGGGGUAUAGUGGACAGUGGGCGCAAGCAUGAUCCAGCGAUACCGCGUGGGUGACGGAGGCCUCGGGGUUGUAAAGCCGUUUUGUUGGGAAAGAAAAGCAGCAGGUUAAGACGAAGCUGUUCUGACGGUACUGAAAGAAUAAGCACCGGCUAACUUCGUG
rnacentral:rRNA from 1 species